rnacentral:lncRNA from 1 species
GGGCAGAUAGAUCUUGACCUGAGAAACAAUAUUAUCCAAUGUCAGAUUUGCUCUAAAUGCUUUGGUUUUUGAGUUAUAAGCCAAAAACUGCAUUUGACCCCUAUGUUCUAUUUUUAGCAAUGGCGACCAUGUUUGUUGAUAGAUCACAACUUCGGAUACAAUUUACAAACUAGAUACCCUAAGGAACAUUCAGUUAAAGUUUGGAAGUAUUUGGCCCAGUAGUUUCAGAGGAGAAGAUUUUUGUAAAAGAUUACCAAGAUUUACGAAAAAUGGUUAAAAAUUGACUAUAAAGGGCAAUAACUCCUAAAGGGGUCAACUGACCAUUUCCGUCAUGUUGACUUAUUUGUAAAUCUUACUUUGCUGAACAUUAUUCCUGUUUACAGUUUAUCUCUAUCUAUAAUAAUAUUCAAGAUAAUAACCAAAAACAGCAAAAUUUCC